UUCAAUUUAAUGUUUCUUUGCUACAGUCUGACAUCAAUAUAUUUUGCUUUCUUAUUAGAGACUCUUAUUACCAUUAAAGAAAAAAAAUGCUUGGCGAAGAUGAAAAUAAACAGAGGCUAAGCAAUGUUUGCAGACUUUCAGAGUUAUAAAGGACAGGACAAAGUAAUAUAACUGGAUUAGCAAGAUAAGAAUGUUAGAUAUUUGCCCUGUCGUUGGCAAUUGUGCCUAAGGGAAGCCGGCUGUUCUUAUCACAGCGGAACCAGAACUGUGGUGUGUGAGCCCAUUCUGGGGCUGGGGGACAGCAGCAGGCCCCCACCCUGGUCAGGGGCAGAGGGCACAAGACAAGGCGGGUGGCCUAUGAGACUUUGAUGGUGUCAAUCAAGGGAUCUCCUGUUGAGUCAGCCAUUCCACCUACAAACCUUCAGUCAAGACCUUUGAAACAAAAUAAACGAUAUUCAAGGAGAAAUCUGACUGCAAACUGUAUACAAGAUUGCCAUUGUAAACAGACCAAAUUCCAAACGUGCCACAAUGCUGCUGGGAGUAGAGCUUUGCAAAGGGUGGAUGCCCAUUCUGUAUUUCAAUACACACAGGACAGAACGCAAGGUAAGUGGAGGAUUCAUUCUAAAAUAGAAGGGAAGUUGAUCUUCUGCACCCACACUGCUAGCGCCUCUGCUGCCGUUUUUAACAGGUGCUCCUUGUGGAUCUUGAGGAGUCUCCAUUCCCUCUUUGCUGACAGAUCAGAAGCACCUUCUUCUGUUGUAGGCGUUGAAGGACGGUUUAUUCCAUUCUGCUAUCAAGAAGGGCAUGUUGCUGUAGCGACACUUCAUCACAGCUCGCUGGUGUUCUUCAGAACUCUUGCUCCCGAGCCGCAGCCUCCGUGGUUGGCAUCAGGAACGAGCCCGCGAGACAGCCACCUUGCUGCCCGAGGGGAAAACGGGACGUGGCAAAACCAACAGCACCGUGUCCCCCUGGAGGCCAGGGCUCUUCGGGCACUCUGCAGCCAGGCAGUGAGCGGUCAAAGGGGUGCUCUCCCAAACCGCCCUCUCGCAGGCUUCUUCAGGGAAUGUCGCUUGUUCCUCCACGUGUUCAUGGUUAGCCAGUCCCGAGAGCAGCCGCAGUCUGUCACCAACUUAGCCAUUUGCCUUUCUUCCCUCUGCAGACCAGGCCCGGUGCUCGAACAGCCGGAGGUUCCUCAUCUGACCCCUGGGAGCGUCCUCCUGUCAGGCCGGCCGGCACGGGGACCGGGACCGCAGCGGGCCACGGAGAAGCUGCAGCAGGCUGCGGUUGAGAGCCGCGCCCAUGCGCGUUUCUCCUAGUCUGGCGGUUACGAGGCGUUUAGUUUGCUUACAUUUAAUAAGGUCGCUGGACUGGGUGAGGGCUCCUCUCAGCCCUUCUAAUCCCACGCUUUUCACUUCUGCCCUGGCCUGAGGAUCGGGUUCCGUCAGGUAUUGUGGCUAGCAUCUCAAGACUUUUGACAACACUUUCCUUUGCCUGUGAAAGGAGUUGAUCUCCUAACCAACCCUGUGUCUGAAGAUGCGAAGUGAAGAUCUUGAUGGGCACCAGGGUAGAGAUUUGGACAAUUUAUGCAGCCUUUGUUGAAAACCAGAAUUAGGAGGCAUGGAUAAUCAUGUAAUGAGACCCACUUGAAAAAGAAAUCAACCAGAAUUUUUGUAUCUAGUUUGGAACAUCAUCCCCUAUCCUCAAUAGAAGACAAAGAGCCAGAAGUCAUUUGGGACCAAGCUUCGCCAACAUUUAGAAUUAUUGGACUUCUAAAUUUUUAAUAUGAGCGGUGUGAAAUAAAAUCUCUGUGUUUUAAGUGAUUCCUGAGAGACAGAAUCAUCAUUUUUGGUUAUCAAACAAAGCCCAGAAUGUGAAUAGUGUGGAACAUUUUAUGCUGACAGCUCUGUGCAACAAACUUCCUCCUGGCACUUACCCUGCAGCUUAGCUUUCCAGCCAGAGGUUCCUCUUAUCCAGCAAAAAAUGGCUAACCCGAAGAUGAGAAUGAUGUGUAUUUGCCUCCUGCUCGUGGGGGGCCUUUGUUUGUACGUCAGCAUGUCCGGCCUGAGUCCCUUUAAAGAGCAGCUAUUUGGUUUCAAGAAAGAGUACAGGAGCUUCCUCCAGCUCCCAGACAUGGACUGCAGGCAGAACCCCCCCUUCCUGGUCCUGCUGGUGACUUCGUCUCACAAGCAGCAGGACGCCCGCAUGGCCAUCCGCCAGACGUGGGGGAGAGAGAGGAUGGUGAACGGAAAGCUGGUGAAAGCCCUCUUCCUCCUGGGGACCACGGCCAGCAUGGCCGACACGAGGGCGGUGGCCGAGGAGAGCCGGCGCCACCGGGACAUGAUCCAGAAGGAC